ACGGAGGGUGCAAGCGUUGUUCGGAAUUACUGGGCGUAAAGGGCGCGUAGGCGGUUUUAUAAGUCAGAUGUGAAAGCCCACGGCUUAACUGUGGAAGUGCAUUUGAAACUGUGAGACUUGAGUACCAGAGGGGAAAGUGGAAUUCCCGGUGUAGAGGUGAAAGUCGUAGAUAUCGGGAGGAAUACCGGUGGCGAAGGCGACAUUCAGGAUGGAUUCUGACACUGAGGCGGGAAAGCGUGGAGAGGAAACAG
rnacentral:rRNA from 1 species